rnacentral:tRNA from 1 species
CCUCCUGUGGCAAAAUGGUAGACGUACCAUGUUGAGGUCACGGCGCUGAAAAGCAUAUCGGUUCGAGUCCGAUCAGGGGUA